rnacentral:rRNA from 1 species
UACGGGGGGGGCAAGCGUUGUUCGGAAUUACUGGGCGUAAAGGGCUCGUAGGCGGCCAACUAAGUCAGACGUGAAAUCCCUCAGCUUAACUGGGGAACUGCGUCUGAUACUGGAUGGCUUGAGUUCGGGAGAGGGAUGCGGAAUUCCAGGUGUAGCGGUGAAAUGCGUAGAUAUCCGGAGGAACACCGGUGGCGAAGGCGGCAUCCUGGACCGACACUGACGCUGAGGAGCGAAAGCCAGGGGAGCAAACGGG